GUAUAUAUAUUUAAACAUAUAGUGUGUGUGGGUGUGUGUGUGUGUAUAUAUAUAUGUAUAUGUAUAUAUAUAUAUAUAUAUAUAUAUAAAUUAAGUACUAUUAUAUAAAUAUAUUAUUUACAUUAUAUAUGUAUAAUAUAUGUAAUAAUUAUUACAAAAGAGGAAGAACUGAAAAAAUAAAUUGACAUUAGUAGAAAUGGACGUAAGUCGGCCUGAUUAUGCGUCAGCACACGUGAGCGCCCAAAAAUUUCUGACGUUAUAGUUAAUCGUGGCAGCGCGCGUUUUAUCACGCUAUUAUCACGUAGAAAUGUUAACAUUAUCAAUCGACUAACAAUUGACGUCAUCAUUCGAAGAUUCUCGACAGUGUUGUUAAUUUCGCGACGAGCGAGUAUUUGUAAAAAAAUUAGUCGAUCGUAAGGUGGUAAUCGCGCGUCGCGAACACGUGCUCGUGCCCUCCGUCGUAUCGCUAUUCCACGGCUUUCAGAGAUUCGUGUCGUUAAUAAAAACAAUCGCGGCCUCGGCAUACGUGAGCGUACAUACAAAAAGCGGAUAACGACUACAACGUGAUACAGGAUGAGGCUGCGACGGGGUCGUGAUUUACGGAAGAAGACUCGAAUUCACUCAUGGGAAGUAGUUUUACUACUUCUACAGCCUUGUGGUCAGUUUGCGCCACAAUUUAAAAUCGCCUCCUCGGAAGAACGAGGAAGGUGGGAAACGCGGGAUGUUAAUAAAGGCGCGUGAUCGACGAGAGUCUUCCGAAUGUUUGAAGAAACGUCCGCGCCUCCUCGUCGCAUCGCCGCAUCUCUUCAAUUUUUUAAAUAUAUGAUUUAGUAUUUGUUACCUUUUACAUAUAUUUACAUUUCUCUAACGAAAGUAAAAGUUCGUGCAUUAUUUAGUCUCGACGACGCGAAGGUUUUUAAAGGUUUCGUUUAAAUGAUCGAUGUAACUGAAAUAGUGUUAUAAUAAACUCGUGUUAUAAUAAGCGGUGUUUCCGUUUAAAUCUUUAUUUAAAUCCACGGCGGAACGGUAAAAGCUGCGUAAACAUUUUAUAAUACGAGCAUAUUGCUCCGUAAAAAGUGAGUGGCCAAUUUAGAAGAUGAUUGCACAGCGGUGUUUUGUCUCGCUGUUAUGUUAUGGAUUCGUCAUUCAAAUAAACGGUCUACUUCGCACACGUGGACUAUUCCCUCCGCGUAACGAUCCCAAUCUACUGGUCGAAGAUAGAGUUAGACAGAAUGGCUAUCCUUUUGAACUUCAUCACGUAACAACUGACGACGGAUACAUAUUGGCCGUUCAUCGGAUACCAAAUUAUUCGAAUAAAACCAUUGAGAAUCAUCGGGUAGUGUUAAUCAUGCACGGAUUGUUGGGAUGUUCGAUGGAUUGGCUGAUAACGGGUCGUAAUCGAUCAAUCGCUUAUCUUCUGGCUGACGAGGGUUACGACGUGUGGCUCGGCAAUAACCGUGGAACCACAAACUCGAAGAAUCAUACAACCCUUUCUAUACAAAGUGCUCAAUUCUGGGACUUCAGCUGGCAUGAGCUGGGUAUGCAUGAUUUGCCCGCUAUGAUAGAUUAUAUAUUGGAACAAACUGGCCAACAGCAAUUGUUCUACGUAGGCUUCUCUCAAGGAACAACGCAAUUUUGGGUUCUUACCUCUCUUAAACCGGAAUACAACCAAAAAAUUAAGCUUAUGUCCGCUUUAGCACCCGUGGCUUACACCGGACACAUUGGCGGUAUACUGAGACCUCUGAGUUUCUUCGCAAAUAUUUUUAAGGGAUUUUACAAGUUUACUGGAUAUUUUGAAAUAUUAGCGAAUUCGAAAUUAGAAAAAUUCAUAACGCGCAACUUUUGCCACGAAGAAAUGUUCACUCAACCCUUUUGCGAGCUGAUCGUGUCCAUGAUCGGAGGUUUCAGCACCAACGAGACGGAUUACAUGCACUUGGCGGAUUAUCUGCAAUUCGCGCCGGCGGGGUGCUCGUACAAGCAAUUGGUUCAUUACGCAAUGGGCAUUCAGAAUCCAGGACAUUUUCGGCCUUACGAUUAUGGCAUACUGAGGAAUCUCAGGAUUUACGGGCGAUUUGUGCCACCAGAGUAUCCCAUGGAAAAGAUCACGGUUCCAGUGAUCUUGUAUCACGGGUUGAACGAUGUUUUGGCUGCUCCAGAUGUAAUUAAAUCGCUUCAAAUAAGACGUUAAAAUAUUGAAUAGAAAGUUACCGAAUAUUUUGGAGGAUUUCAUAGUGACGUUAAAGAGAUUGAAUCACUUUGAUUUCGUAUACGGCCUGCAUGUACGAGAUCUCGUCUACAAUCAUUUGAUUGAAAGGAUGAAUUCCAUACCAUAAAUGGUACAUACUUAUUAAUUUGACCGAAUGCCUGACUCUGCAAGUUUAAUGUGCGUAGGGUUGAUAUGAAAAAGAUACGACCACUUCGACUAACUUUGCAUCAACUUUAUUUCACGUUCGUCUUUUUCGUAAUCAUAUAAAUUUUGAUUACGUGUGCUUUUUUUUAGAAAAGAGAAACAGACUUUUGUACAUUAGAACGAAUAAUAUUAGAUGAAUCUAUAACACAUAGCUAUAAAUAUUACUAUUUAUUAUGUAUUAUUAUGUAUUGUUACGACUUUUUUAUACACUAUUUAAGAAAAAGAGAUUGAACGUGUGAUGCAUAUUGAAACAUUGUAACUAUACCACAAUGCCGUGUAUGUUGACGAACUGAAUCAUAGUGAAACGUUGAAUCCGAGCGGAAGCCAGUGGAAGAUGCUGAAACAAAAUAAGAUUUCUAGGACUCGUAUCGAAAUCCUGACGCAUAUUCAAUUUACAUGAUUACCGAUCGAUUACUUUGCCCGAACAAGCUUUGUUCUCUAUUGAAGUCCACACAAAAGCAUUUCUUUUUUUUUAUCAAAAUUGAAAUAUAUUUACUAUUCCACUCAUAUAUAAACCAUAUGUUAUUAAUAUAAUCAUCGAAUGUAAUUGUAUAAUUGCAGCGCUUAUUUAUGAGUAUAUUUAACAUUAAACGUAAU